UGGGUAACCUGCCUCAAAGAGGGGAAUAGCCUCCCGAAAGGGAGAUUAAUACCGCAUAAUAUGUUUAGGUCGCAUGACUUUAACAUCAAAGGAUUUUUCUUUUAAGAAAUUCCACUUUGAGAUGGACCCGCGGCGCAUUAGCUAGUUGGUGAGGUAACGGCUCACCAAGGCAACGAUGCGUAGCCGACCUGAGAGGGUGAUCGGCCACAUUGGAACUGAGACNCGGUCCAGCUCCGUAGGGAG
rnacentral:rRNA from 1 species